rnacentral:rRNA from 1 species
GGUAGGGGUUAGGCUCGCGUGCCAUUAGGUAGACGGCGGGUAACGGCCCACCGUGCCGACGAUGGCUAGGGGUUCUGAGAGGAAGGUCCCCCACACUUGGAACUGAGACACGGUCCAGACUCCUACGGGAGGCAGCAGUGAGGAAUAUUGGACAAUGGCCGGAAGGCUGAUCCAGCCAUGCCGCGUGCGGGAGGACGGCCCUAUGGGUUGUAAACCGCUUUUGCGGGGGAGCUAAUAAGAGCCACGAGUGGUUCGAUGAGAGUACCCUGCGAAUAAGCAUCGGCUAACUCCGUGCC